AAGUCGUAACAAGGUUUCCGUUGGUGAACCAGCGGAGGGAUCAUUACAGAGUUGCAAAACUCCAACAAACCAUCGCGAAUCUUACCCGUACGGUUGCCUCGGCGCUGGCGGUCCGGAAGGCCCUCGGGCCCCCGGAUCCUCGGGUCUCCCGCUCGCGGGAGGCUGCCCGCCGGAGUGCCGAAACCAAACUCUUGAUAUUUUAUGUCUCUCUGAGUAAACUUUUAAAUAAGUCAAAACUUUCAACAACGGAUCUCUUGGUUCUG
rnacentral:misc_RNA from 1 species